rnacentral:rRNA from 1 species
GACGAACGCUGGCGGCGUGCUUAACACAUGCAAGUCGAACGGAAAGGCCCUGCUUUUGUGGGGUGCUCGAGUGGCGAACGGGUGAGUAACACGUGAGUAACCUGCCCUUGACUUUGGGAUAACUUCAGGAAACUGGGGCUAAUACCGGGUAGGAGCUCCUGCUGCAUGGUGGGGGUUGGAAAGUUUCGGCGGUUGGGGAUGGACUCGCGGCUUAUCAGCUUGUGGGUGGGGUAGUGGCUUACCAAGGCUUUGACGGGUAGCCGGCCUGAGAGGGUGACCGGCCACAUUGGGAAUGAGAUACGGCCCAGACUCCUACGGGAGGCAGCAGUGGGGAAUAUUGCACAAUGGGCGGAAGCCUGAUGCAGCAACGCCGCGUGCGGGAUGACGGCCUUCGGGUUGUAAACCGCUUUCGCCUGUGACGAAGCGUGAGUGACGGUAAUGGGUAAAGAAGCACCGGCGAACUACGU